UCGAACGAGUUCUCGUUGAUGAUCGGUGCUUGCACCGAGAUUCAACAUCCUUCGAGUGGCGGACGGGUGAGUAACACGUGGGUAACCUGCCCUUAAGUGGGGGAUAACAUUUGGAAACAGAUGCUAAUACCGCAUAGAUCCAAGAACCGCAUGGUUCUUGGCUGAAAGAUGGCGUAAGCUAUCGCUUUUGGAUGGACCCGCGGCGUAUUAGCUAGUUGGUGAGGUAAUGGCUCACCAAGGCGAUGAUACGUAGCCGAACUGAGAGGUUGAUCGGCCACAUUGGGACUGAGACACGGCCCAAACUCCUACGGGAGGCAGCAGUAGGGAAUCUUCCACAAUGGACGCAAGUCUGAUGGAGCAACGCCGCGUGAGUGAAGAAGGCUUUCGGGUCGUAAAACUCUGUUGUUGGAGAAGAAUGGUCGGCAGAGUAACUGUUGCCGGCGUGACGGUAUCCAACCAGAAAGCCACGGCUAACUACGUGCCAGCAGCCGCGGUAAUACGUAGGUGGCAAGCGUUAUCCGGAUUUAUUGGGCGUAAAGCGAGCGCAGGCGGUUUUUUAAGUCUGAUGUGAAAGCCCUCGGCUUAACCGAGGAAGCGCAUCGGAAACUGGGAAACUUGAGUGCAGAAGAGGACAGUGGAACUCCAUGUGUAGCGGUGAAAUGCGUAGAUAUAUGGAAGAACACCAGUGGCGAAGGCGGCUGUCUGGUCUGUAACUGACGCUGAUGCUCGAAAGCAUGGGUAGCGAACAGGAUU
rnacentral:rRNA from 1 species